GUCUAUAGCCAUGCAUCCUGAAUGUGCCCAAUCUCGUCUGAUCUCAGAAGGUAAGCAGGGUCGGGCCUGGUAAGUACUUGGAUAGGAGACCAUCUAGGUAUACCAGGUGCUGUAGGCA
rnacentral:rRNA from 1 species